rnacentral:rRNA from 1 species
CCUACGGGUGGCAGCAGUGAGGAAUAUUGGUCAAUGGGCUUACGCCUGAACCAGCCACGCCGCGUGAGGGAAGACUGCCCUAUGGGUUGUAACCCCCUUUUGCCAGGGAGCAACGCCGGCUACGUGUAGCCGGACUGAGAGUACCUGAAGAAAAAGCAUCGGCGCACUCCGUGCCGGCCGCCGCGGAAAUACGGAGGAUGCGAGCGUUCUCCGGUGUUAUGGGGUUUAAAGGAUGCGUCGGCGGAGUGCCAAGUCAGCGGGAAAACCGCGGGGCUCAACCUCGCUCCGCCGUUGAACCUGGCGUGCGUGAGUGGGCGAGAGGUAAGCGGAAUGCGUGGUGUAGCGGUGAAAUGCGUAGAUAUCAGGCAGAACUCCGGUGGCGAAGGCAGCAGACCGGCGCCCAACUGACGCUGAGGCGCGAAAGCGUGGGUAGCGAACAGGAUUAGAUACCCGGGUAGUC